UACAGAGGUCUCAAGCGUUGUUCGGAUUCAUUGGGCGUAAAGGGUGCGUAGGUGGCGAGGCAAGUCAGAUGUGAAAUCCCGGGGCUCAACCCCGGAACUGCAUUUGAAACUGCCUUGCUCGAGUACUGGAGAGGAGACUGGAAUUUACGGUGUAGCAGUGAAAUGCGUAGAUAUCGUAAGGAAGACCAGUGGCGAAGGCGAGUUUCUGGACAGUAACUGACGCUGAGGCACGAAGGCCAGGGGAGCAAACGGG
rnacentral:rRNA from 1 species